GUGGGGAAUUUUGGACAAUGGGCGCAAGCCUGAUCCAGCAAUGCCGCGUGCAGGAUGAAGGCCUUCGGGUUGUAAACUGCUUUUGUACGGAACGAAAAAGCUCUCUCUAAUACAGGGGGUGAAUGACGGUACCGUAAGAAGAAGCACCGGCUAACUACGUGCCGGCAGCCGCGGUAAUACGUAGGGUGCGAGCGUUAAUCGGAAUUACUGGGCGUAAAGCGUGCGCAGGCGGUUUUGUAAGACAGAUGUGAAAUCCCCGGGCUUAACCUGGGAACUGCGUUUGUGACUGCAAGGCUGGAGUACGGCAGAGGGGGGUGGAAUUCCACGUGUAGCAGUGAAAUGCGUAGAGAUGUGGAGGAACACCGAUGGCGAAGGCAGCCCCCUGGGCCUGUACUGACGCUCAUGCACGAAAGCGUGGGGAGCAAACA
rnacentral:rRNA from 1 species